rnacentral:piRNA from 1 species
UGAGUCUGUCUCCCAUGCAUUUCCAAG